AUUGAACGCUGGCGGCAGGCUUAACACAUGCAAGUCGGACGGUAGCACAGAGGAGCUUGCUCCUCGGGUGACGAGUGGCGGACGGGUGAGUAAUGUCUGGGGAUCUGCCCGAUAGAGGGGGAUAACCACUGGAAACGGUGGCUAAUACCUCAUAACGUCGCAAGACCAAAGAGGGGGACCUUCGGGCCUCUCACUAUCGGAUGAACCCAGAUGGGAUUAGCUAGUAGGCGGGGUAAUGGCCCACCUAGGCGAGGAGCCCUAGCUGGUCUGAAGGGAGGACCAGCCACACUGGAACUGAGACAGGGUCCAGACUCCUACGGGAGGCAGCGGUGGGGAAUAUUGCACAAUGGGCGCAAGCCUGAUGCAGCCAUGCCGCGUGUAUGAAGAAGGCCUUCGGGUUGUAAAGUACUUUCAGCGGGGAGGAAGGCGACGCGGUUAAUAACCGCGUCGAUUGACGUUACCCGCAGAAGAAGCACCGGCUAACUCCGUGCCAGCCGCCGCCGUAA
rnacentral:rRNA from 1 species